rnacentral:rRNA from 1 species
AUUGAACGCUGGCGGCAUGCUUUACACAUGCAAGUCGAACGGCAGCACGGGGCAACCUGGUGGCGAGUGGCGAACGGGUGAGUAAUACAUCGGAACGUGCCCAGUCGUGGGGGAUAACGUAGCGAAAGUUACGCUAAUACCGCAUACGAGCUAUGGAUGAAAGAGGGGGAUCGCAAGACCUCGCGCGAUUGGAGCGACCGAGGUCAGAUUAGGUAGUUGGUGGGGUAAAGGCCUACCAAGCCGACGAUCUGUAGCUGGUCUGAGGGGACGACCAGCCACACUGGGACUGAGACACGGCCCAGACUCCUACGGGAGGCAGCAGUGGGGAAUUUUGGACAAUGGGCGCAAGCCUGAUCCAGCCAUUCCGCGUGCAGGAUGAAGGCCUUCGGGUUGUAAACUGCUUUUGUACGGAACGAAAAGGCUCUGGUUAAUACCUGGGGCUCAUGACGGUACCGUAAGAAUAAGCACCGGCUAACUACGUGCCAGCAGCCGCCGUAAUAC